AGGGAAUCUUCCACAAUGGACGCAAGUCUGAUGGAGCAACGCCGCGUGAGUGAAGAAGGCUUUCGGGUCGUAAAACUCUGUUAUUGAAGAAGAACGUGCGUGACAGUAACUGGUCAUGCAGUGACGGUAUUCAAUCAGAAAGUCACGGCUAACUACGUGCCAGCAGCCGCGGUAAUACGUAGGUGGCAAGCGUUGUCCGGAUUUAUUGGGCGUAAAGCGAGUGCAGGCGGUCUUUUAAGUCUGAUGUGAAAAGCCUUCGGCUUAACCGAAGAAGGGCAUCGGAAACUGGGAGACUUGAGUGCAGAAGAGGAGAGUGGAACUCCAUGUGUAGCGGUGAAAUGCGUAGAUAUAUGGAAGAACACCAGUGGCGAAGGCGGCUCUCUGGUCUGUAACUGACGCUGAGGCUCGAAAGCGUGGGUAGCAAACAGGAUUAGAUACCCUGGUAAUCCACGCCGUAAACGAUGAAUACUAAGUGUUGGAGGGUUUCCGCCCUUCAGUGCUGCAGCUAACGCAUUAAGUAUUCCGCCUGGGGAGUACGACCGCAAGGUUGAAAC
rnacentral:rRNA from 1 species